GGCCGGGUGGAGAGGCGUAAUACAAUACCCGCGAGGGGAAUAUGCCCGGAGCUACGUUACAUGCUCCAGUUGACACCCGGUCACCAGCUA
rnacentral:ncRNA from 1 species